rnacentral:rRNA from 1 species
GACGAACGCUGGCGGCGUGCUUAACACAUGCAAGUCGAACGGAAAGGCCCUGCUUUUGUGGGGUGCUCGAGUGGCGAACGGGUGAGUAACACGUGAGUAACCUGCCCUUGACUUUGGGAUAACUUCAGGAAACUGGGGCUAAUACCGGAUAGGAGCUCCUGCUGCAUGGUGGGGGUUGGAAAGUUUCGGCGGUUGGGGAUGGACUCGCGGCUUAUCAGCUUGUUGGUGGGGUAGUGGCUUACCAAGGCUUUGACGGGUAGCCGGCCUGAGAGGGUGACCGGCCACAGUGGGACUGAGAUACGGCCCAGACUGCUACGGGAGGCAGCAGUGGGGAAUAUUGCAAAAUGGGCGGAAGCCGGAUGCAGCAACGCCGCGUGGGGGAUGACGGCCUUCGGGUUGUAAACCGCUUUAGCCUGUGACGAAGCGUGAGUGACGGUAAUGGGUAAAGAAGCACCGGCUAACUACGUG